GCGCAUCUGGUGUAGUGGUAUCAUAGUACAUUCCCACGUUACUGAUCGGGGUUCGAUUCGCCGGAUGCGCG
rfam:Oryza meridionalis cultivar OR44 (W2112) chromosome 3, whole genome shotgun sequence.